AUUGAACGCUGGCGGAAUGCUUUACACAUGCAAGUCGAACGGCAGCGCGGACUUCGGUCUGGUGGCGAGUGGCGAACGGGUGAGUAAUACAUCGGAACGUGCCCGGACGUGGGGGAUAACUACUCGAAAGAGUGGCUAAUACCGCAUACGAUCCAAGGAUGAAAGCGGGGGAUCGCAAGACCUCGCGCGUUUGGAGCGGCCGAUGGCAGAUUAGGUAGUUGGUGAGGUAAAGGCUUACCAAGCCUGCGAUCUGUAGCUGGUCUGAGAGGAUGAUCAGCCACACUGGGACUGAGACACGGUCCAGACUCCUACGGGAGGCAGCAGUAGGGAAUAUUGGACAAUGGGCGCAAGCCUGAUCCAGCCAUGCCGCGUGAGUGAAGAAGGCCCUCGGGUUGUAAAGCUCUUUUGUUGGGGAAGAAAAGCAGUUGGUUAAUACCCGAUUGUCUGACGGUACCCAAAGAAUAAGCACCGGCUAACUUCGUGCCAGCAGCCGC
rnacentral:rRNA from 1 species